UACGUAGGGGGCUAGCGUUGUCCGGAUUUAUUGGGCGUAAAGAGCGUGUAGGCGGCCAGAUAGGUCUGCUGUGAAAACUCGAGGCUCAACCUCGAGACGCCGGUGGAAACCGUAAAGCUAGAGUCCGGAAGAGGAGAGUGGAAUUCCUGGUGUAGCGGUGAAAUGCGCAGAUAUCGGGAGGAACACCAGUAGCGAAGGCGGCUCGCUGGGCCAUUCCUGACGCUGAGACGCGAAAGCUAGGGGAGCGAACAGG
rnacentral:rRNA from 1 species